GAGAUAAUCGUGAAAACAAAACAAACAAAUUAAAUAACAUAAACGCAAAGGAAACACAUUAACACAACGACAGGCGGCAACAUAUAAAAUAAAAUCCGUAAAGGGUAAACUUUGGCACCAGAUCGAGGAUGCACAACUGGCGGCAACUGGCGACGGCGUCGAGCUGGUGGCAAGCACUGCAAACACCCUGUUACUGUUCCACAUCCUGCCACGCGUGCCACUUAUAGAUACAGCUACAGAAAUAUAUAUAUGUAUGUAUAGAUACAAAUGUGCAGCUAUUAGAUACGGCGUGCAUGCACGAAAGAUACUCGCGAAUUGAUGUGGAACAUGUGCCAAUGCUUUGCGCUGUUGGAAGCUGCCGCGAGGGCGACGUUGUCGUUUGAUUUUGGCCAAGUUAAAUAAACAGGGCACACACACACAAAGACGCGCAUACACGCACACACACUCUUACAGACUCGCACGCAAAUAAACAAUAAAUAAGGCCAACCGAGUUGUCAACAAACGCAUCGCUUCUGGCCAACUGUUUGGCAAUAACAUUUGCCCAAAAUGGCCGCGCCCGUCGAUGAGAGCGUGCUCAAUGCGCUGCGGGGCGUGACCAGCGCCCAGACGCGUCUGCCCAAGCCGCUGCUCAUCAAGAUCUAUGUGGCCAGCCUCAAGCAGGAGUUUAACCAGGAGCGGCGCAUGCUGCUCGAGCUGGUCGGGCCCGAGCUGCAGACGCUCUACGAUGAUCGCCAGAUCGAGCUGGAGAUUGUGGACAUGCACUUUGGCACGGGUGCCCUGGAUGUGACGCUGCUCGAACGGGAUCCCUACAUGCAGCAGGAUCUGCUGCACGAGAUUGACACGUGCCACGCCCACUCGAAAAGUGUGUUCUUUUUGGCGCUAAUUGGCGACGGCAUUGGCCGCCCACCGCUGCCCACGCACAUCGACGAGGACAUCUAUGCGGCACUCUCUCUGCCGGCACAGGAUAUGGAGCUGCUUGGACGCUGGUAUGCCAAGGCGGGCGCAGAAACGCAGUUUGUACUCAAACAGGACUAUCGCUCGCUGGCCGCGGAAGAGUGGCUGAGGGAAUCGCGUCUGUUGCAACAGCUGCUGGAGAAAUCGCUGCAACAUCUGGUGACCGCGACAAAUGGGGAUUUGCUGCGCCGCGUGCAGCUGCUGCGACGCACACAAAUCGAGCAGGAAGUGCAGCGGGCCAUGGCACACUCCAGCGAGAAGAUACUGGCCGUGUUCCGGGAGCGUGCUGCACAGUGCAGCGGUCGCGAUGUGGAGGCCGGCGAACGUUUGCGCAAAAUCAAAGAUGAGCUGACCAUGAACCUAUCAACGGAUAAUCACACGACGCUAGUUGUGCCUGGCAGCGCCAGCAGCGAGGCCAUCGAUCCGGACAACGAGGACCACGAGGCGUAUUUAAGUAAAUUCAAGAACAAAGUCACCGACAAGCUGCGUCUGCUAAUCGAGGCGCACAUUACAAAUGAUCCCGAUGUUAUCAAGGGGAGGAAAAAGACUGUGCAGGAAAUCUUUCACGAGCAUGCCACACAUUUGCGGAUGCUGCGCGAGCACACGGAGCGUGUGGUGCUGCUGGAGACGCAAGUGCCGCAACAGCUGCAACUGAAUCUGAUGGCGAAUUUCAAGAACGGCAGCCGGCACGCUCCGUACUUUAUAUGCGGCACACAUGGCAGCGGCAAGAGUGCGCUGAUUAGCACACUCUAUGGCCAGGUGGGCGGCUGGUUUGGCACGACGCGUGUGCAUCGUGUCAUACGCUUUGCGAAGGCCACGCCUCGCUCUGCAUACAAUCUGGAGCUGCUGCGCGUAAUCUGCCAGCAAAUCUCAAUUAUAUUCAACAUACCCGAGGGCUAUUUGCCCAAAGAUGCGUCCUUCGAUCCGCUGUACAUUAACAACUGGUUUCAGAAUCUGUUACGUCGCAUCGAGGACAUGAACAACGACGUGUUGUUUCUGUUCAUCGAUGAUCUGCAUCUGCUGAAUCCGCUGGAUUGCGACAUUGUCGCCGCACUCUCCUGGCUGCCGACAUCGCUGCCCUGGAACGUGCAGAUCAUAUGCAGCUCGACAACGCCCGUCGAACAGCUCAAGUUUACGCCCAUGCAGCGGGAUAGAUUCAAGUCGGCGGAGUAUCAGUUCGAUCUGGGCCUGGAGGCGAAUGCGACCCGGCUGCAGCGACCGGAACAGUGCGCUGCGGAUGUCAGCUUUGUGGCCUAUGUGGAGCAGCAGUUCGACGAGCUGGAGCAGCUCUAUGGCCGGCAGGCGGUGGCCAGUCUGGCGGCCUACAUCACGUGCUCCGAGUACGGGCUGACCGAGACCGAGCUGCUCGAGCUGCUGAUGCCCACCGAUGAUCCCGAGUCGUUAAUAGAGACGCAAAACGGACACUUUAGCUUCGCCAGCUUCAAGAAGAUACACAAGCAAAUGGAUAAGCGCCUGCUGCUGCACGACAAGAUUAUGUCCGGCAAGGUGCUCAUUCAAUGGCGCCACAAUUACUGCGCCACGCUGGCCAAGCGACGGUAUAUGGAUGUGGAGCGAACACGUUGCCUGCACAUGGAGCUGGCCAAUUUGUUUUUCCCCCAGGACGAGGAUGAGAGCACGCUGGAGAAUGAUACAACUCGAAGCGACAGCAAGUCGGUUGUCAGUCUCAAGGAGCGUGAGCCGCACAAGGAUAAGGACAGGGAACGCGAAAAGGAUAACGUAUCGGCUGGCCGUAAAUCAUCCUCAACGCAUCACAACGACGACACAUCCACCUUUUACAAUCCCAUUGCCGCCGAUGUUUCCUACAGCAUGCGGCACGUCGAGGAGAGCUGGCAUCAUCUGAUGCGCUCCGAUGACACGACUCGAUUCAAGCAGAUCGCAGUCUGUAAUUUUGAUUUCCUGCUCGCGGCGGUGCAAACGGUAUCCAUUAGCUACCUGCGCUGCCUAAUCGAACACGUGCGCUGCUAUGUGCUGGACCGGGACAUUGAGCUCAUCUACUACACCAUACGAAAGUCGAGCGAUGUGCUCACCCGGGAUCCCAUGCAGCUGGGCUCACAGCUGGUCUCGUGGCUGCGACCGAUUGGCGAGCACGACGACGACGACAACUCGCUGCUGAGCAUGACGGUCCGAUCGGCGACCGCCUGGUGCGAUGGCUAUGCGGUGCCGCUGCUCGUUCCGCUGACCGGCUGGCUGCCGGCGCCGUUGCCCUCCCAGAUACGCAACAUGACCGUGUCCGGCACCGGAGUAAUACGCGCCGUUUGCCUAGCGCCGUCGCGGCAACAUCUGAUACUGGCCACCAAUUCAGGCGAUGUGCAGUUGUGGCACAUCAUGAGCAACUCGCUGGAGCACACGUAUAAGGGACACACUGCGGCAGUCACGUGCCUGCUGGUGGCGCCGCAACAGUCGCAGCUGCUGCUGACCGGCUCCGAGGAUACAACUGUUUUGGUCUGGCACGUGUCGCUGCGCGAGCGACGAGCGCACAUUAAAGCCCACACAGCGUCAGUGACAGGCGUGGCAGCUGGUGUCAAUAACACGCUGAUCAUCAGCAGCAGCGAGGAUGCAACCAUCGCCAUCACAGACCUGGCCAGCGGCAAAUUGAUACACCGCAUUAGCUUUCAUCGUGGCCCGGUUAGCGGCAUUCUGGUCGCUGGCGCCUGUGAUGUCCUCAUCUCGGCAAGCCAUGACAAGAACAUAUGUGUCUGGGAUCUGGAGAACUACGCGCUCUUGAACACCAUGCAAAUGACGAGUCCAGUGCUGCGCAUUGAUAUCUCAUGGAAUUCGGUAUUCCUGCUGGCCCUCUGCGAGGACAAUGCGCUCUACGUGCGCACCUUGGCCACCGGCAAGGAGCUGCACACGCUCAAGGGACACAAGUCGCGGAUACGCACCAUAUGCAUUGGCAAGGACAGCCAGCGGUGCGUGGUCGGCUGCGAGGAUACGCGGGCGCUCAUCUAUGACAUGCACUCCGGCAAAUUGGUGCGCUCAAUGCCGCCGAAUCCGGGUCCAGUUACGGCCGUUUAUGCCAUGGACAAUGAUGACUUUCUGAUUACCGUUGGCGGCAACAAAAUCACCUUUUAUUCGUUCAGGAACGAGGAGCUCUAUGUGAAUCCGUACUCGCGGCAUCCGCGCCGCAAGCGCAGCCUGAAGCGGCACGCCCAGGCGCAGCGUUCGCCCUCGACCACGUUACCGCCGAUCACAUGCUUCGACUUGUCGCGCGACUCGCAGCAGCUGGCGAUUGCCUCCGGCCGGAGUGUGCACAUGAUGCGCAUCAAUACGCCGGAAUAUCAGAGCACACUGGAGGGUCACACCUGUGUCGUCAAUUGUCUGAAAUUUGCGCCAAACGGCGAGUUCUUGGCCACGGGCGGCGAGGAUCGUCUGGUGCAGAUCUGGACUCUGGCGCUGGGCGAAAUCAAUCACACAUUCAAGGGACAUGCGGCGCCAGUUAUGCAGCUGGUGGUGCUCAUGGACUCGCUGCGCGUCAUCUCCACGGAUCGUGAGUCGAUGAUGCUCGUGUGGAUGGCCGACUCGGGCAAUCUGCUCCAGACCAUACAGGGUCCGUACAAGAAACUAGCGGCCACCAACAACAUGCGCUUCGCCGUCUCCACGAAUGGCGACAAUACCCUAAAGAUCUGGUCCCUAACGCAGGAGGAUGAAAAGUAUUCCGUCUCGCACUCGGACGAGAUAACCUGCUUCGAGAUUAGCGCGGACAGCAUGCACAUUAUAACUGGCUCCAGGGAUAUGUCGCUGAAGGUGUGGCAAUCGAUGGGCGGCAAGCUGAGCCAGGUGCUCGUCGGUCACAGCGAUGCGGUCACCUGUGUGGCCGUCUCUGUGACCAAUAAAACGCAGGUCAUCUCCGGCUCAAAGGAUAUGAAUCUGAUUAUAUGGGAUUUGCUCACCGGGGAGGAGGUGCACACAUUGGCCGGCCAUUUGGGCGCUGUUAUUGGCGUCAAGGUCUCCGCCGAUGGCUCCACGGCUGUCUCGGGCAGCGAUGACAAGACGUUAAUUGUGUGGGAAACGAAGCGUGGCCUGGCGCUCACAUCGCUGCAGAUGCACGUGCCCUUCACGCACUUCGACAUCAGCCUAGAAGUGUCCCGUGUGCUUGUCCAGCUGGUGGAUAGCUACAAUUUGCCCGUCAUCUGUUUGCAUAAUACGCCGGCACAGUAUGUCAAGCUGCCGACCUAUUCCGGUCCCAGCAAGGAUGUGGAAGAUUUGCGUCCACAGGGCCCCAAGCGACAGAUGAAGCGGCUGCUCAAAAAAGAGGUCUCCCUGGACACAUACACCUGGCAAAAGAAAUAUGGCCAUCUGACCUCCUCCGUGAUGAUGGCCCAGGUGGAUGAGCGCCUGAAGCGACGCUUCAGCGUCUCGGCCAGCAUGGAGGAGAUCUCGAAGAUAGCUGAAACCAAAACGGGCGCCUCCCAAGCCAACUUGGGACCGGAGCAGGCGGCGCUCGCCCAGUCCCAGCAUUUCGAUCAACUGGAGGCGCUGUGGAACAAACGUUCGCCGCCUCGACGACGUCACAAUGCGGGUCUGUCGCGGCAGACGUCGCUGGUGGAGGACCGGCUAGAGUCCUCCGACGAUGAUGAGUAUCAGGAUGAGCGCGCAGCCUCCACCAGUUUGAAAACCAGUUCCCGCAGCUCACUGCAGCAUGCCCCACAACAACAACAACAACAGUAAAAACUACAACAACAAGAACAACACAACUACGCCAGCGAAAGAUAAAUAAUCAAAUAACUAAAUUUUAUAAACUAUAAUUUAGCACUUGGCUAAAACUACGAUUAAAUACAAAAGUUUUGCAUAGAAACCACCCAAAAAGUUAAACCGAAAGCAACUAAAACAAAAUAACUCGUUUUUCUACUUCAAUACAUUUUGUUUAUAAUCUUAUUUGGCAUGCAAGCUUCUCUCUGCAAUUCUCAGCACUUUCCACUUUCCCACUCACACCCAAGUGGAAAUGGAAUUUCAAUUAGAGCACCGAACCCGAUCAAUUCUGUGCCCGACAUGUUCCACAGUUCAAUUUUACUAUACGACGAGCCUAAUUGAUAAAUUUGUACUUUCUAGACGAUUUCGACGAGUUCUUUUAGGUUCACACAAAAACUAAUCUAGUAGAGGGUUAGAAAAUCGGUUUAGUCACGUUUCAAAUCCGCAUUACCUUUCAAAGAUACAAACGUACCUCACUGCAAGUGCUGAAAUAUUUAUGAGAGCUCUACGUAAUUAUAUUAAAUAUAUACAUAUAUAUAUAAAAAUGAACUAAAUAAUCAAAUAACUACACAUCUAAUAAGAAACAAAAAAAAAACAAGCAAGAAAAUGCAAUUAUAUCUUAGAUUGUACUUAGUUGUUGGCCACGCCCACCCGCUGUAAACGGAGCUGCGAAUGAGCUGAAAUCAUUUCGCUACAGGAGGAGGAGGAUACCACAAAGGAUAAGCUGUAAGGCGCACUGGCUAAUUUAUAAAAGUUAAUUACACUAGCUAAUAAGUAAAUGUUUUAAAUGGUAAGCAAUAAUUGAGCAACUAGCUGCAACCUAGACUCUCCCUUCCAAGUGAUCUGUUAAAUGUUUCCUAAAGUUUAAUUAUUUGUUUACAUUUUGGUUUGGUAUUUUUUUUUUUUAAUUAAGCUUAGGUUUGUUUAGAGCGAGCGAGUAAAACUCAACAAUAUUUUGAUUUGCUUGGUUUUUUCCCCAAAAUUACAAAAUUGUAGUCUGUAGUUUCUAAAAAGCAAAAACCACCGUCUCAGACUUUAUAUAGAACCUAGCAUACAUGAUAAGUGAGCCAUUUUGAAAUUUUAAUGUUGUAGAGUGUUUUAUGUACUCAUAAAUAAUAACAACUUGAGCUAUUCAUGUUGUUAUGCAUAUAUAUAUACAUACUUCUAUAUAGAUUGUAGAGAUAUGAUCGAGAAGAAACCAAAUGCAAACCACAAAACUUGAAGGGGUUAAAAGCGUAACUAUGCUUAAUAAACAAAAAGAUACAAAAUGCAGAAAUAAAACUGUAAUUGUCACACUAUUAAUAUGCCACAAAACUAUAAAUUUAUGGAAAACAUUUACUCAAACCAAAAAACAAAAGAAAAAGUAUACAUUUGCAGCACAUUUGAUUUCAGAUCUGUUCAGCAUUGUAUAUACUUAUUAAUGCAUGUGCGCAAUAUGGAGAAAAACAAAAUAUGAAUUGUUUAACACAUAUCCAUAGCGAAGCGUUUGAAUAUUUGUGUAUAACUGUGCAUUAGUUUAAGCCUAAACUCUGUACUAAGCGCACAAUUUAUUUUCUAUCAGUUCUGCACGCACCCUAGUUAACUUCAAUAACUCUCUGACAAUCAGAAGUUCUUGCCUAGAACAAAAAAAUAUAAAAGAAAAUAUAAGAAGAAAGGAAAACAAAACACAAGCCAUGAGAAAUGUUUUAACACAAAGCGAUAUUUCUACACAUAUUUCUACGCAUGCGACAUGUGAACUUGUUUAAUCCUUAACCUAAGAACUAAGAACUCACCCGAUACGAUAACAUAUGUAGUUUUUAGUGUAACCCACAUUGAGCUAUUGUAGGGCCCCAAAGCAACCGAACAAUUCGUAGUAUUUAAAGGCGUAUAUAUAGUAUAUAGAUAUGUAUACAUAUGUGGCUGGCAGUUGAGAGUCCUUUGAGAACCCAGUCGGAGCAUGUGCUAAGUAGAACACACUGUCUAUGUCUAUUACAAAAUUAAACUAAACUUUACUGGAAAACAGCAAAAACAAA